rnacentral:rRNA from 1 species
AACGCGUGAGGAACCUGCCUCAAAGAGGGGGACAACAGUUGGAAACGACUGCUAAUACCGCAUAAGCCCACGGGUCGGCAUCGACCUGAGGGAAAAGGAGUGAUCCGCUUUGAGAUGGCCUCGCGUCCGAUUAGCUAGUUGGUGAGGUAAUGGCCCACCAAGGCGACGAUCGGUAGCCGGACUGAGAGGUUGAACGGCCACAUUGGGACUGAGACACGGCCCAGACUCCUACGGGAGGCAGCAGUGGGGAAUAUUGCACAAUGGGGGAAACCCUGAUGCAGCGACGCCGCGUGGAGGAAGAAGGUCUUCGGAUUGUAAACUCCUGUUG